rnacentral:rRNA from 1 species
AUUGAACGCUGGCGGCAGGCCUAACACAUGCAAGUCUAGCGAGCGGCGUACGGGUGAGUAAUGUCUGGGAAACUGCCUGAUUGUGGGGGAUAACUACUGGAAACCGUAGCUAAUACCGCAUACCAUCAGAUGUGCCCCGAUGGGCUUAGCUAGUAGGUGGGGUAACGGCUCACCUAGGCGACGAUCCCUAGCUGGUCUGAGAGGAUGACCAGCCACACCGGAACUGAGACACGGUCAAGACUCCUACGGGAGCAAGCAGAGGGGAAUAUUGCACAAUGGGAUUAAGCCUGAUCCAGCCAAGCCGCGCGUGUGACGAAGGCCGUCUGGUUGUAAAGCAAUAUCAGCGGGGAGGCGUUACCAGAAGAAGAAGCACAGGCUAACUCCGUGCCAGCAGCCGCGGUAAUAC